UGAAUGUUACAAGUGGCACCUCAUGUUUUCAAAUUUUAUUUGCACAUCUCUUUACCCGGGUAAAGUAAUACAAUAUGUAUUAAACUUUUCAUUUAAUUUUUCACCUCUAUUCCUUUUAUUUCACACAUCUGUUUCUCUCUCCAAUACCAUAUGUCUAUCUUUCUCUCCAAACCCCAGGCACCGAUGCAUUUUCAAAAUGGGAUCAAAAAUGGUGGCUCACAGUUUUAUCAAAGCAGGUUCGGUGAUGUUGUUUGUGUAACUGAGUUGUUGGAUGUUUGUGGAAGUCGUUAAUGGUUCAGCUGUGUGUUGCAUGUGACGAUUCGGUGAUGCUGAUAAACGGUUGUUGAGCGGUUGUUGUUUAUGGCUCUGAUGUUGUUGCUAUUCAGAAUAGGUGAGAUCUUUCUGAUUUUUGUUCUUUUAUUCUCUGAUAUGUCCUUCUUCUUCUUCUUUGGUUCUUUUAUCCACCAGAUGGGACAAUAUCUUAUGCUCUAAGUGUGUAUUUCAGUCAAUAACUUUUUUGUUAAGUCUGGUGAUGACGAGCAGAUUCGACGACAAAUUCGGAUGUGGGGUGUGCAGCAACGUUGGUGGAAGCUCAAUGAGUUGAGUCGUUAGUGGUGGACAAGGAACAUCUCGCUGCCAUGUCCUUUGAGUAUGAUUUUUAUCUAAGUAUGGUAAAGCUUUGUUUUUUCGGUUUCGACAUCAUUACAGUUUUGCUAUAGCUUAUGAUUCUGAGCUGAUUUUGGUUUGAAUUAAAUACAUAUGAAGCAAUUAUGAAGUUAAAUUAGAGGAUUAGUCACAUGUUGAAGCGACGAGGAGAAGAAAAUUUUGCUAUCAAUCUUGCUUUCUAAGUGUUCGGUGAAAUGUCUUAACCAAUUUCUUAAUUCUUUCUCUUCUGUUUUUAGAGUUUUCGCUAUAGCAUUGUUGUUGUGUUGAUUUUCUGCUGAGGCUUUGAUUUUGGCUUGUGAAUUGGUAUUGAAUUGUUUCAUUAACAGUUUAUAACUCAGCUUUUUAUUCUUCGAUUUAAACUUUUAACUAAAUUGUUUAUAACAAUAUAUUAUUACAAAGUAGUAUCUGCUUUUGGUACAAUUAGACUGAAGAAAAAUGGAAAUUACAACAAGAUUUUUUUAUUGGACAAGCAAUGAAUUAUGUGGACAAGGAAGUGGAACGAGUAUUACUGCGGAUCGAUACAUUUCUGACGUAAUUGUUUUGGCACCGACUCAUGGGAUUACACGUUUUGUCAACUACCUUCUACGGAACAAAGUAGAUCAGAACUUAUGCUCAUUGCGCAAAGGAGUCUAUGAGUGAAUUUUUUGUAAUAAGAUUAUUUCGUAGAUAUGCUUGUGGGUUCUGGUUUCGGUUUGAAGUGAAGAAGAUGGAGAUCUGUUUGUUGGUUGUAGUUUCGAUUUCAACCAAAGGAGAAAAUUCAGAUACGGUUUAUUGAUUAUUGUGUUUAUCUUUUCAAUGUUUUAUUGGUGACUUUUUUGAAUGAGAAACCACAAGGAUUGUAUAUUUUCUGUUUCAAUGUGAUGCUUUUCUAUGGUUUACAUGUCGUGGAUUAUUUGGUGGUAUUUUAUUAAGACAUCUUGUGGGAACCAUACCCUGCUACAUUCAUAGACAUUCAAACCAUACCCUGCUACAUAAAGUUAUUUUUUGUUUGUUGUUGAAAUGGCUUUUCUUCAAAUGGAUUCUAACCUUUUCCUGUAUGUUCAUCUAAAACGAUGAUGGUUGGUCAUGCUGUGCAGUUGAUGGCUGGUCAUGCUGUGCAGAUGUCCUUAUUCUAAUUCUUAUUUAGGUUCUAUGGCAUAUAAUGAGGUGAGACAAAAACUAUGAAUUUCGAGUUUUGAGCCUAUCGGGCAUUACAAAUUGAAUGGAAUUCUCUACAAUGGAGAGACUGAUAUUCGUUGACACAAAGAAAUCAUAAAGGAUGAUGACAUUGUGCAAGUACUGCCAUGUUUUGAGGAACUUAUCCUACCAAGAAUUAAUCGAUACCCUCAUGAUCUCUUGAAGAUGGGAGUGAUGUCCACAAACAUUGCUCAUAUUGACCAAGUCAAAUUCAGUUUCUAUUCAAAUUCUGCUCACAAUGCUAACCAACUAUUGGUGUAGUUGUUCAUGACAAAACCACGAUAGUUAAAUUGUAUUAGACACUCAAACCACGGCAAAAGUGGAGGCAGAAGAAGAAGAGGAGGCAGAAGAAGAAGAGGUGGCAGAAGAAGAAAAACGGAAGAAAAGAAUACUGAAGAAAAGACUAUUGAUCUGUACACUAUGAAUGAAUUUGUACAAUUGGUCAUCCAAGCUGUGAAUUCAAUUUCAUAAGUGUUGGGAAACACAUUCUCAAAUGCUCAUUAAUAUAUGUGUGUUUUUGCAUUCCAAAUAGGCUAUCUUAUGUAUUAAGCUUACUCAUGUCAUGGCUACCAUUUAGAAGGCAUGACUACACUAAGAAGGCAUGAUUGCUAUUGUAUUAUAGAAUAUUGAACAAGAAGUUAUUAUGUAAUAUUUAUUUAAUAUUUGAUAGGUGAAGCUUAUGUAUUAAACUUACUCAUGACUA